GCUGAUAUGGCUCAGUUGGUAGAGCGCACCCUUGGUAAGGGUGAGGUCCCCAGUUCGACUUCUGGGUAUCAGCACCA
rnacentral:tRNA from 1 species